rnacentral:misc_RNA from 1 species
AACUUUUGGCAAUGGAUCACUUGGCUCUCGCAACGAUGAAGAACGCAGCGAAAUGCGAUACGUAAUGUGAAUUGCAGAAUUCCGUGAAUCAUCGAAUCUUUGAACGCAUAUUGCACUCUAUUUCGGUAGAGUAUGCCUGUUUGAGAAUCUAUAGUAUUUAUUUUACUAUUUUGCUUUAAUUAGCAGCUUAGUAAAGAUCUGAGACUUGACUACUCCGGUGGUCUGUCUUGAAAUCUAUAGCUGAACUGUGCCCAGAGUGUUUGACUCUUUGCAAAGCAUCAGAAACGUAUUUGAAUGGGGUUUACCUCUUAUAAUGCUUAUUAAGAUGCAGCAUUGAUUAGCUCGAAAGCGCUUUGCAGUCCAACCAUAAAGCCGUAAAAAAGCUUGAACCAUGGUCUCAAAUCAGGUAGGAAUACCCGCUGAACUUAAGCAUAUCAAUAAGCGGAGGCU